CUGCCUUGGCCUCCCAGAGUGCUGGGAUUACAGGCCUGGCCUAAAAUUAAAUUAAAAAAAAUUAAGCUCCUUAAUUGCACUAGUCACAUUUAAAGUUUUCAAUAGCCACAUGUGACUAGUGGCUACUGUACCGGAGAGCAAAUACAGAACAUUUCCAUCAUUGUAGAAAGUUCUGGCUGGGCACGGUAGCUCAUGCCUGUAAUCUGAACACUUUGGGAUACUGAGGCAGGCAGAUCACUUGAGGUCAGGAGUUCAAGACCAGUCUGGCCAACAUGACAAAACUCCGUCUCUACUAAAAAUACAAAAAUUAGCCGGGUGUGGUGGCGGGCGCCUGUAGCUGAGACAGGAGAAUCGCUUGAACCCGGGAGGCGGAGGCUGCAGUGAGUUGAGAUUGCACCACUGCACUACAGCCUGGGUGACAGAGCAAGACUCCGUCUCAAAACAAACCAAACCAAACCAAACCAAAAACAUAAAAAAAUUCUAUUUAAUAGUACUACUCUGGAUAGGGACUACUUCCUGCAGAGCCUAUACUUAAAGCUUCUUGUUGAAAGGUCCUUUGGAAUGAUCUGUCAGAGAUUCAUCUUCAGCAACUUCCAUUUACUCUUGGAAAAUGGUGCCUUUUGCUGCUUUCCUGAGUCAGGGAGGAAUCCAGUCACUCCAAGGCUUAAGGUAGCCGAAGCAGACACCCUUGUUUAUUUUUGGUCAGUGAGCCCAAUGGUUCAGGGUGGGGGUGUAAGGGUGUUAUAUUUAACUGCUGAAUUUAUGCAUAGCCAUGCAAUGCUACCAAAGCCCUUACAGUUGCAUGGCACUGCCCUCCAGACGCCCAGCCACAGCUUGGACAUAUCCUUCCACAGCCACUGUCCGGACUUGCAUAUAAAUUCUAUGAAUAAUAAAGAGCAGGUUUUAUUUCAGGUCUGAAUAGGAUUAUCUCUCACUGUAAAUUUGAAAAAGAGAACCCCUAACUCAAAUUACUCAGUAUUCUUGCUCCACUUUACUGGUAAAACUUUAGGUGCUGUGGAAAUGAGGGUCACUCUACUCUGUAUAUUUUAGCAUUGAAAACCUUUGACUGCUGGGCGCGGUGGCUCAAGCCUGUAAUCCCAGCACUUUGGGAGGCCGAGGCGGGUGGAUCACGAGGUCAGGAGAUCGAGACCAUCCUGGCUAGUAUGGUGAAACCCUGUCUCUAUUAAAUAUACAAAAAAAUUAGCUGGGUGUGGUGGCGGGCACCUUUAGUCCCAGCUGUUCGGGAGGCUGAGGCAG
rnacentral:lncRNA from 1 species